CGGACGGGUGAGUAACACGUUGAUAACCUACCUAUAAGACUGGGAUAACUUCGGGAAACCGGAGCUAAUACCGGAUAAUAUUUUGAACCGCAUGGUUCAAAAGUGAAAGACGGUCUUGCUGUCACUUAUAGAUGGAUCCGCGCUGCAUUAGCUAGUUGGUAAGGUAACGGCUUACCAAGGCAACGAUGCAUAGCCGACCUGAGAGGGUGAUCGGCCACACUGGAACUGAGACACGGUCCAG
rnacentral:rRNA from 1 species